GGCCUCGUAGCUCAGCUGGCUAGAGCGUUGACUGGCGUGGGUUCGAAUCCCACCGAGGCCG
rfam:Schistocephalus solidus strain NST_G2 genome assembly, scaffold: SSLN_scaffold0001326